rnacentral:rRNA from 1 species
GAUGAACGCUGGCGGCGUGCCUAAUACAUGCAAGUCGAGCGAACGGACGAGAAGCUUGCUUCUCUGAUGUUAGCGGCGGACGGGUGAGUAACACGUGGAUAACCUACCUAUAAGACUGGGAUAACUUCGGGAAACCGGAGCUAAUACCGGAUAAUAUUUUGAACCGCAUGGUUCAAAAGUGAAAGACGGUCUUGCUGUCACUUAUAGAUGGAUCCGCGCUGCAUUAGCUAGUUGGUAAGGUAACGGCUUACCAAGGCAACGAUGCAUAGCCGACCUGAGAGGGUGAUCGGCCACACUGGAACUGAGACACGGUCCAGACUCCUACGGGAGGCAGCAGUAGGGAAUCUUCCGCAAUGGGCGAAAGCCUGACGGAGCAACGCCGCGUGAGUGAUGAAGGUCUUCGGAUCGUAAAACUCUGUUAUUAGGGAAGAACAUAUGUGUAAGUAACUGUGCACAUCUUGACGGUACCUAAUCAGAAAGCCACGGCUAACUACGUGCCAGCAGCCGCGGUAAUACGUAGGUGGCAAGCGUUAUCCGGAAUUAUUGGGCGUAAAGCGCGCGUAGGCGGUUUUUUAAGUCUGAUGUGAAAGCCCACGGCUCAACCGUGGAGGGUCAUUGGAAACUGGAAAACUUGAGUGCAGAAGAGGAAAGUGGAAUUCCAUGUGUAGCGGUGAAAUGCGCAGAGAUAUGGAGGAACACCAGUGGCGAAGGCGACUUUCUGGUCUGUAACUGACGCUGAUGUGCGAAAGCGUGGGGAUCAAACAGGAUUAGAUACCCUGGUAGUCCACGCCGUAAACGAUGAGUGCUAAGUGUUAGGGGGUUUCCGCCCCUUAGUGCUGCAGCUAACGCAUUAAGCACUCCGCCUGGGGAGUACGACCGCAAGGUUGAAACUCAAAGGAAUUGACGGGGACCCGCACAAGCGGUGGAGCAUGUGGUUUAAUUCGAAGCAACGCGAAGAACCUUACCAAAUCUUGACAUCCUUUGACAACUCUAGAGAUAGAGCCUUCCCCUUCGGGGGACAAAGUGACAGGUGGUGCAUGGUUGUCGUCAGCUCGUGUCGUGAGAUGUUGGGUUAAGUCCCGCAACGAGCGCAACCCUUAAGCUUAGUUGCCAUCAUUAAGUUGGGCACUCUAAGUUGACUGCCGGUGACAAACCGGAGGAAGGUGGGGAUGACGUCAAAUCAUCAUGCCCCUUAUGAUUUGGGCUACACACGUGCUACAAUGGACAAUACAAAGGGCAGCGAAACCGCGAGGUCAAGCAAAUCCCAUAAAGUUGUUCUCAGUUCGGAUUGUAGUCUGCAACUCGACUUCAUGAAGCUGGAAUCGCUAGUAAUCGUAGAUCAGCAUGCUACGGUGAAUACGUUCCCGGGUCU